AGUGAACGCUGGCGGUAGGCCUAACACAUGCAAGUCGAACGGCAGCACAGUAAGCGCUUGCUCUUACGGGUGGCGAGUGGCGGACGGGUGAGGAAUACAUCGGAAUCUACUUUUUCGUGGGGGGUAACGUAGGGAAACUUACGCUAAUACCGCAUACGACCUACGGGUGAAAGCAGGGGAUCUUCGGACCUUGCGCGAUUGAAUGAGCCGAUGUCGGAUUAGCUAGUUGGCGGGGUAAAGGCCCACCAAGGCGACGAUCCGUAGCUGGUCUGAGAGGAUGAUCAGCCACACUGGAACUGAGACACGGUCCAGACUCCUACGGGAGGCAGCAGUGGGGAAUAUUGGACAAUGGGCGCAAGCCUGAUCCAGCCAUACCGCGUGGGUGAAGAAGGCCUUCGGGUUGUAAAGCCCUUUUGUUGGGAAAGAAAAGCAGCAGGUUAAUACCCCGCUGUUCUGACGGUACCCAAAGAAUAAGCACCGGCUAACUUCGUG
rnacentral:rRNA from 1 species